AAGGUUUUGAAGGCUUUUUCCACAAAGGAUGAUAGCCCGCCUCUAUAUGAUUGUGCUUCCAAGAAAAAGGUUAGCCUGGAACCCCUGAGAAGGAAGAAUGUGUUACUUGUUAUUUUAGGGUUAGAGUUCUCCCCUGAUGAGCUUCUGAUCCUUGAACAAAUCUAUAAUGAAUCGAGUGUCGUGCAAUCAAGGCUUGAAAGGAAAUAUGAGAUUGUUUGGCUCCCAAUUGUGGAACUCCAUGAAUCUGAAUAGACACAACAAAAGCAAAGGUAGUUUGAGGACCUGAUGUUAACCAUGCCAUGGUUCUCUGUGUAUCAUCCUUUAGCGAUAAGCAAGUCGGUCACCCGAUUCAUCUAGAGGAAAUGGAAGUACAAGAACAUGCCAAUUCUUGUGGUUCU